CAAUAGCGUAUAUUAAAGUUGUUGCAGUUAAAAAAGCUCGUAGUUGGAUUUCUGGUGGGAGCGAUCGGUCUGGCGCUUAGCGCGAGUACUUGCAUCGUCUCCGGCCAUCCUUGGGGAGAGUUUGUCUGGCAUUAAGUUGUCGGGCAGAGGAUCCUCAUCGUUUACUGUGAAAAAAUUAGAGUGUUCAAAGCAGGCUUAUGCCGUUGAAUAUAUUAGCAUGGAAUAAUAAGAUAGGACUUGGGUCAAUUAUUUUGUUGGUUUGCGGAUCGAGGUAAUGAUUAAUAGGGAUAGUUGGGGGUAUUCAUAUUUAAUUGUCAGAGGUGAAAUUCUUGGAUUUAUGAAAGAUGAACUUAGGCGAAAGCAUUUACCAAGGAUGUUUUCAUUAAUCAAGAACGAAAGUUAGGGGAUCGAAGACGAUUAGAU
rnacentral:rRNA from 1 species